UGGGGUGUAGCUCAGUGGUAGAGCACUUGCCUGGCAUGUGCAAGACCCUGGGUCCCAUCCCCAGCACCAAAA
rnacentral:tRNA from 1 species